rnacentral:rRNA from 1 species
GAUGAACGCUGGCGGCGUGCCUAAUACAUGCAAGUCGAGCGAACGGACGAGAAGCUUGCUUCUCUGAUGUUAGCGGCGGACGGGUGAGUAACACGUGGAUAACCUACCUAUAAGGCUGGGAUAACUUCGGGAAACCGUAGCUAAUACCGGAUAAUAUUUUGAACCGCAUGGUUCAAAAGUGAAAGACGGUCUGGCUGUCACUUAUAGAUGGAUCCGCGCUGCAUUAGCUAGUUGGUAAGGUAACGGCUUACCAAGGCUACGAUGCAUAGCCGACCUGAGAGGGCGACCGGCCACACUGGAACUGAGACACGGUCCAGACUCCUACGGGAGGCAGCAGUAGGGAAUCUUCGGCAAUGGGCGAAAGCCUGACGGAGCAACGCCGCGUGAGUGAUGAAGGUCUUCGGAUCGUAAACCGCUGUUAUUAGGGAAGAACAUAUGUGUAAGUAACUGUGCACAUCUUGACGGUACCUAAUCAGAAAGCAACGGCUAACUACGUG